ACUCACCAUCCAUAAUAAAGACCUGAUUGACUUAAUCCCAUGAUUAUGUUAAUCAAGGAUAUACUUAAUAGUCAUACUGUCACCUCUACCAUAUCACAUAUGUGAAUUUUUUUUCUUUAUAGUAUCAUCUCCAAUCGAAUCAAAAUUAGGAGAAUGGGAGACUAUCUCUAAAGUGAGAACUAUUCUCAAGUUUCUCAAUUAGUCUAUGAAGUUCGAUUAAUUUUUAAAAGACAUCAAAUAUACCAUGC
rnacentral:lncRNA from 1 species